UCGGGUAUUUUGGGCAAUGGGCGAAAGCCUGACCCAGCAACGCCGCGUGAGGGAUGAAGUAUUUCGGUAUGUAAACCUCGAAAGAAUGGGAAGAAUAAAUGACGGUACCAUUUAUAAGCUCCGGCUAACUACGUGCCAGCAGCCGCGGUAAUACGUAGGGAGCAAGCGUUGUUCGGAUUUACUGGGCGUAAAGGGCGCGUAGGCGGCGCGGUAAGUCACUUGUGAAAUCUCUGAGCUUAACUCAGAACGGCCAAGUGAUACUGCUGUGCUAGAGUGCGGAAGAGGCAACCGGAAUUCUUGGUGUAGCGGUGAAAUGCGUAGAUAUCAGGAGGAACACCGGCGGUGUAGACGGCUUGCUAGACCAUAACUGACGCUGAGGCACGAAAGCGUGGGUAGCAAACA
rnacentral:rRNA from 1 species